CCUACGGGGGGCUGCAGUGGGGAAUCUUGCGCAAUGGGGGAAACCCUGACGCAGCGACGCCGCGUGGGCGAUGAAGGCCUUCGGGUCGUAAAGCCCUGUCGAGCGGGACGCGGUACCGCUAGAGGAAGCCCCGGCUAACUCCGUGCCAGCAGCCGCGGUAAUACGGAGGGGGCUAGCGUUAUUCGGAAUUAUUGGGCGUAAAGGGCGUGUAGGCGGCUUCGUGUGUCCCAUGUGAAAGCCCUCGGCUCAACCGGGGAACUGCAUGGGAAACUGCGGAGCUUGAGUCCGGGAGAGGAGAGCGGAAUUCCCAGUGUAGCGGUGAAAUGCGUAGAUAUUGGGAGGAACACCGGUGGCGAAGGCGGCUCUCUGGACCGGACUGACGCUGAGACGCGAAAGCCAGGGGAGCAAACGGGAUUAGAUACCCUUGUAGUC
rnacentral:rRNA from 1 species